GCAUUACUGAGGAGUCCCACAAUAGAACGAAGCGACCGUCCAAUGC
rnacentral:hammerhead_ribozyme from 1 species